rnacentral:tRNA from 1 species
GGCCUGACCCCCCCCCCGUAGCUCAAUUGGUAGAGCACUCGUUUGGCAUUUCGAUGGCCAUGGGUUCGAUCCCAUACUUCUCCGGGUUGACAUUGGGAGAUGUAGGUUCGAAUCCCACCGCUGGCCC